CGCGCAGGCGGCUUUAUAAGUCAGAUGUGAAAGCCCGGGGCUUAACCUCGGAAGUGCAUUUGAAACUAUAUGGCUUGAGUAUGGGAGAGGGAAGUGGAAUUCCUGGUGUAGCGGUGAAAUGCGUAGAUAUCAGGAGGAACACCGGUGGCGAAGGCGGCUUCCUGGACCAAUACUGACGCUGAGGCGCGAAGGCGUGGGGAGCGAACA
rnacentral:rRNA from 1 species